UACGUAGGUGGCAAGCGUUGUCCGGAUUUACUGGGCGUAAAGGGCGUGCAGGCGGUUUUUUAAGUCUAGGGUGAAAGCUCCCGGCUCAACUGGGAGAGGUCCUUGGAUACUGGAGAACUUGAGGGAUGCAGAGGAAAGUGGAAUUCCCGGUGUAGUGGUGAUAUGCGUAGAUAUCGGGAGGAACACCAGUGGCGAAGGCGACUACCUGGCCUGUUCUUGACGCUGAGGCGCGAAAGCUAGGGGAGCAAACGGG
rnacentral:rRNA from 1 species